rnacentral:misc_RNA from 1 species
GGUGAGUGUGGUUUAAACCGUUGACCACUUCCAUUUUCUUGAUAAUUAUGAAACACAGCUUUCCUUGAGUCUCCUAGGAAUUCUAAGAAGACUUUCUUGAUAAUUAUCUUCUUCCAGGUAUUAGGAUCUCACAUUUUUUUUUAUUUACCUAAUAAUCUCUUGGGCCCUUGGCCCUCUGAAUUUUGUUGGGUCAGGAGCUGUGAAAUAAGAUUUUUUUUUUUCUAGCUUCAUUACUCAGUCAUUAGUUCAGAAAGAAAAUCACAGCAGUAGGGCUAUUUAUAACAGAACAUUCCAUUUCCAACUAAAUGCAUAGAACACAUUUAUUGAUUUAAUGAAGGUUUUCAAAAACAAAAAUCGGAAUUGCUAGCAAAUCCAUUAUGCAAGAUGAUAUUGAUGGGAAAAGAUGGUUUUCUAUUUUCUUUGUUCGAUCUUUUAUGUUUGCUGUUUACUACCAGACUGUGGAGUUCAGGAAAUUAUAUAGUGCAGCUUUCAGGCUUAGAAAUGAAGGAUGUUAUUUGGUAGCAAAUUACUGCUUCUGUGGGAAGCUAGUGAAUGCAGCUUUAUGUUCUGAUAAAACUCAGAAUUUUGGAUUUUGCAGUGUAUUUAUUGACUGGAGGAAUGCUUUCUCCUGUAUGAUUGGUUGCAAAGUAGUAUAUGGAAACUUGAAUUCAUUAAAAAAAUGGAUAACAGGUUCCAGACAUGGAAGAGUUGACUGUUAUUCUUGGUGACUGUUCUGUGUAUCAUAUGUUGUUUUUGGAGCUACCCUGAAUAAUUUGAUUUUCCUGCUUUGAUUAUCUGGUUAAAUAGAUUGUUUUCCAAAUAUGCUGAACCACCGUUCAUGGUAAUUGUUAAAAAUUAUUCCAUGCAUCUUCUUCUUUGGCACCACUUAUAUGCGAGGGGGGGUAAAAUCUGAGAGUCAUAUGUAAAUGUGGUAUGUUUUCACCCCUCAAAAUCAAACUUUGUGGACCAGGUUUGAUUUUAGCUGAAUUUAAGGCAUGGAAAGUUUGUUCUUUGUAGAAUAGCACUUUUUUGAGUUUCUUCUUUUGAUCGACUCUGUUAAACCUGCUUGCUUUAUCAAAUGUUAGUGGCAUUAUGCUGAUGAUACUGUAGUUUUCAUAUGAAGUUACAAUGUGAACCUAAGUUUGUCUGCUUUUAUCAUCAGGUUUGGGAUCUUGGGGGACAAG